rnacentral:rRNA from 1 species
GAUGAACGCUGGCGGCGUGCCUAAUACAUGCAAGUCGAGCGAACAGACGAGGAGCUUGCUCCUCUGACGUUAGCGGCGGACGGGUGAGUAACACGUGGAUAACCUACCUAUAAGACUGGGAUAACUUCGGGAAACCGGAGAUAAUACCGGAUAAUAUAUUGAACCGCAUGGUUCAAUAGUGAAAGACGGUUUUGCUGUCACUUAUAGAUGGAUCCGCGCCGCAUUAGCUAGUUGGUAAGGUAACGGCUUACCAAGGCAACGAUGCGUAGCCGACCUGAGAGGGUGAUCGGCCACACUGGAACUGAGACACGGUCCAGACUCCUACGGGAGGCAGCAGUAGGGAAUCUUCCGCAAUGGGCGAAAGCCUGACGGAGCAACGCGGCGUGAGUGAUGAAGGUCUUCGGAUCGUAAAACUCUGUUAUUAGGGAAGAACAAAUGUGUAAGUAACUAUGCACGUCUUGACGGUGCCUAAUCAGAAAGCCACGGCUAACUACGUG